rnacentral:rRNA from 1 species
GGUUUAAUUCGAUGAUACGCGAGGAACCUUACCUGGGCUUGAGUUGCAGAGGAAGGAUUUGGAGACAAUGACGCCCUUCGGGGUCUCUGUGAAGGUGCUGCAUGGUUGUCGUCAGCUCGUGCCGUGAGGUGUCGGCUUAAGUGCCAUAACGAGCGCAACCCCUCUCCUUAGUUGCCAUCAGGUGAAGCUGGGCACUCUGGGGACACUGCCACCGUAAGGUGUGA